rnacentral:rRNA from 1 species
GAUGAACGCUGGCGGCGUGCCUAAUACAUGCAAGUCGAGCGAACGGACGAGAAGCUUGCUUCUCUGAUGUUAGCGGCGGACGGGUGAGUAACACGUGGAUAACCUACCUAUAAGACUGGGAUAACUUCGGGAAACCGGAGCUAAUACCGGAUAAUAUUUUGAACCGCAUGGUUCAAAAGUGAAAGACGGUCUUGCUGUCACUUAUAGAUGGAUCCGCGCUGCAUUAGCUAGUUGGUAAGGUAACGGCUUACCAAGGCAACGAUGCAUAGCCGACCUGAGAGGGUGAUCGGCCACACUGGAACUGAGACACGGUCCAGACUCCUACGGGAGGCAGCAGUAGGGAAUCGUCCGCAAUGGGCGAAAGCCUGACGGAGCAACGCCGCGUGAGUGAUGAAGGUCUUCGGAUCGUAAAACUCUGUUAUUAGGGAAGAACAGAUGUGUAAGUAACUGUGCACAUCGUGACGGUACCUAAUCAGAAAGCCACGGCUAACUACGUG